CAGGAAAUAGUUUAGAUAGAAUCUUAGCUUUGGGAGUUAAGGGUAGGCGUUUGAGUCGCCUUUUUCUGA
rnacentral:tRNA from 1 species